rnacentral:rRNA from 1 species
GUGGGGAAUAUUGGACAAUGGGCGAAAGCCUGAUCCAGCCAUGCCGCGUGUGUGAAGAAGGUCUUCGGAUUGUAAAGCACUUUAAGUUGGGAGGAAGGGCAGUAAGUUAAUACCUUGCUGUUUUGACGUUACCGACAGAAUAAGCACCGGCUAACUUCGUGCCAGCAGCCGCGGUAAUACGAAGGGUGCAAGCGUUAAUCGGAAUUACUGGGCGUAAAGCGCGCGUAGGUGGUUUUGUAAGUUGGAGGUGAAAUCCCCGGGCUCAACCAGGGAACUGCCUCCAAAACUGCAUGACUAGAGUACGGUAGAGGGUAGUGGAAUUUCCUGGGUAGCGGUGCAAUGCGUAGAUAUAGGAAGGAACACCAGUGGCGAAGGCGACUACCUGGACUGAUACUGACACUGAGGUGCGAAAGCAUGGGGAGCAAACAGGAUUAGAAACCCCUGUAGUCC